GGGUACUUACUUCAGAAUAUCUAAUAGUUUGUUCCUGUACAAACAUUGAUUGCUCAAAUGUGAAGAUGCGUGUGCUCUUCUCAAUAUUUUUCAGGACGGAGAGUCUGAGCAUGUCGGGGAUGUUACUGAGAGGAGGAGGGAAAACAGCCCAAAGCCACAUACAAUCGUGAGCGAACGGACAUCGACUGAAAGAGAGAUAGAGAUUAAAAUACAGUAUUCCCAUGUCGUUGAUGUUACUGAAAGGAGCCACCGCAGCCCAAACCCCCAUACGAAUGUGAGCGAGCACAGAGCAACUGACAGAGAGACUCGAUGUGACAGUAACGCGAGAACCCACUCCAGAAAGAGACCUACGUAUUCCUGAGCUGAAAAGAACCGAAAGUGUGAUCCUUACCAAGAAAAUCCUUGGAUAUGGUACAGAGGAGUCUAACACGAGUUCAGAGAUGAGUGAGGAUGACGAUAACCGUUCUGGCCAGGAUGUCAGUAGCAAGAAGGAAAAGGACCCAGACAAAAGUGUUCCUCGGAAAAAAAAUUCAGGCAAUGGAGG